rnacentral:rRNA from 1 species
GGGGAAUAUUGGACAAUGGGGGGAACCCUGAUCCAGCCAUGCCGCGUGUGUGAAGAAGGCCUUUUGGUUGUAAAGCACUUUAAGCGAGGAGGAGGCGCCCUAGAUUAAUACUCUAGGAGCGUGGACGUUACUCGCAGAAUAAGCACCGGCUAACUCUGUGCCAGCAGCCGCGGUAAUACAGAGGGUGCGAGCGUUAAUCGGAUUUACUGGGCGUAAAGCGUACGUAGGCGGCUUUUUAAGUCGGAUGUGAAAUCCCUGAGCUUAACUUAGGAAUUGCAUUCGAUACUGGGAAGCUAGAGUAUGGGAGAGGAUGGUAGAAUUCCAGGUGUAGCGGUGAAAUGCGUAGAGAUCUGGAGGAAUACCGAUGGCGAAGGCAGCCAUCUGGCCUAAUACUGACGCUGAGGUACGAAAGCAUGGGGAGCAAAC